UACGUAGGGCGCAAGCGUUGUCCGGAAUUAUUGGGCGUAAAGAGCUCGUAGGCGGUCUGUCGCGUCGGAUGUGAAAUCCCAGGGCUCAACCCUGGGCCUGCAUUCGAUACGGGCAGGCUAGAGUUCGGUAGGGGAGACUGGAAUUCCUGGUGUAGCGGUGAAAUGCGCAGAUAUCAGGAGGAACACCGGUGGCGAAGGCGGGUCUCUGGGCCGAAACUGACGCUGAGGAGCGAAAGCGUGGGGAGCAAACAGG
rnacentral:rRNA from 1 species